rnacentral:rRNA from 1 species
GACGAACGCUGGCGGCGUGCUUAACACAUGCAAGUGGAGCGACGAACCAGGGCUUGCCCUGGGGCAGAGCCGCGAACGGGUGAGUAACACGUGGGUAACCUACCCCGAUGACCGGGACAACCCGAGGAAACUCGGGCUAAUACCGGAUGUUCUCGUAUCUCAUAAGGGAUCCGAGCAAAGAUAGCUUCGGCCUUCGCAUCGGGACGGGCCCGCGGCCCAUUAGCUUGUUGGUGGGGUAACGGCCUACCAAGGCGACGAUGGGUAGCUGGUCUGAGAGGACGAUCAGCCACACUGGGACUGAGACACGGCCCAGACUCCUACGGGAGGCAGCAGUGGGGAAUCUUGCGCAAUGCGCGAAAGCGUGACGCAGCAACGCCGCGUGGGGGAAGAAGGCCUUCGGGUUGUAAACCCCUUUCAGUUGGGACGAAGCUUC